GACGAACGCUGGCGGCGUGCCUAAUACAUGCAAGUCGAACGCACGUAGUUGAAGAGCUUGCUCUUUAACCAAGUGAGUGGCGGACGGGUGAGUAACACGUGGGUAACCUGCCCAUUAGAGGGGGAUAACAUUCGGAAACGGAUGCUAAUACCGCAUAGUUUCAGGAAUCGCACGAUUCUUGAAGGAAAGGUGGCUUCGGCUACCACUAAUGGAUGGACCCGCGGCGUAUUAGCUAGUUGGUGAGGUAAUGGCUCACCAAGGCAAUGAUACGUAGCCGACCUGAGAGGGUGAUCGGCCACACUGGGACUGAGACACGGCCCAGACUCCUACGGGAGGCAGCAGUAGGGAAUCUUCCGCAAUGGACGAAAGUCUGACGGAGCAACGCCGCGUGAGUGAAGAAGGUUUUCGGAUCGUAAAACUCUGUUGUUAAAGAAGAACAAGGAUGAGAGUAACUGCUCAUCCCCUGACGGUAUUUAACCAGAAAGCCACGGCUAACUACGUGCCAGCAGCCGCGGUAAUACGUAGGUGGCAAGCGUUGUCCGGAUUUAUUGGGCGUAAAGCGAGCGCAGGCGGUUCUUUAAGUCUGAUGUGAAAGCCCCCGGCUCAACCGGGGAGGGUCAUUGGAAACUGGAGAACUUGAGUGCAGAAGAGGAGAGUGGAAUUCCACGUGUAGCGGUGAAAUGCGUAGAUAUGUGGAGGAACACCAGUGGCGAAGGCGACUCUCUUGUCUGUAACUGACGCUGAGGCUCGAAAGCGGGGGAGCAAACAGG
rnacentral:rRNA from 1 species